GUGAGUAACAUAUCGGAACGUACCAAGUCGUGGGGGAUAACUAUCCGAAAGGAUAGCUAAUACCGCAUACGUCCUGAGGGAGAAAGCGGGGGACCGCAAGGCCUCGCGCGAUUGGAGCGGCCGAUAUCGGAUUAGCUAGUUGGUGAGGUAAAGGCUCACCAAGGCGACGAUCCGUAGCUGGCCUGAGAGGACGACCAGCCACACUGGAACUGAGACACGGUCCAGACUCCUACGGGAGGCAGCAGUGGGGAAUUUUGGACAAUGGGGGCAACCCUGAUCCAGCCAUUCCGCGUGAGUGAAGAAGGCCUUCGGGUUGUAAAGCUCUUUCAGCAGGAACGAAACGGUGGUCCCUAAUACGGACUACUAAUGACGGUACCUGAAGAAGAAGCACCGGCUA
rnacentral:rRNA from 1 species